GGUUUAGGCUAAUUCCGGAUCUCUGUCGCCUGAAUUCUCCACUAUCUCCUCCCGCUGUCUGGUUCUGAGGACUUGAAGGGUAUGGAUAAUAAUUCUUUGAUGCUGAUUGA